rnacentral:rRNA from 1 species
UACGUAGGGUGCGAGCGUUGUCCGGAAUUACUGGGCGUAAAGAGCUCGUAGGUGGUUUGUCGCGUUGUUCGUGAAAGCCUGAGGCUUAACCUUGGGCGUGCGGGCGAUACGGGCAGACUGGAGUACUGCAGGGGAGACUGGAAUUCCUGGUGUAGCGGUGGAAUGCGCAGAUAUCAGGAGGAACACCGGUGGCGAAGGCGGGUCUCUGGGCAGUAACUGACGCUGAGGAGCGAAAGCGUGGGGAGCGAACAGG